UCACAAGAGCAAACCCGUCGAAAGACGGUGACGCAAAGCUACAGGGGCUAAGCCGCAAGGUAUGCCAGCCAGUUGCCGU
rnacentral:ncRNA from 1 species